AUGAUAUGCUUCUUCGCCGUCGAGUGGCACUUUGUAGACCGUGUGGCAAGACAAUUUGGAAAAAGACAAGGUAUUCCAAUUGAGGAGAGCAAGGAGGAAAUGCUAUCUCUGCAUCGGUUCGAUCGAAGGAACAAUCAGGAUAUAUCGGAUUGGGCAAACAAACACCGUGCGUGGAUAGAAUUUUGGAAUCAAAGAGACACGUUAGUGCAAUCAGAGAAUAGACCUCACAAUCAGUCAGCAUAUCAGAAGUAUCAAGUGUGGUAUGCGGAUCGUUACCGGUUAAAGUUGAAGCCAGGUUGGACUCACGAGGAGUGGUCGGAGUUGGUGUCUGAAGACCCGGAGACUGCAGAAGGUUAUCAUACCUUCAACACGGCUGUGAGAGACACCAGAGGGGCUCAUGUUGACUACGCACCGAUGCAUGACGAAAUGGUAGUAUGUUUGACCUAUUCUAACAUACUUGCAUCAUGUUGUCUUCUUUCAAAUACAUAA
rnacentral:rRNA from 1 species